rnacentral:rRNA from 1 species
GCACCACCGGCGGACGGCUCAGUAACACGUCGGUAACCUACCCUCGGGAGGGGGAUAACCCCGGGAAACUGGGGCUAAUUCCCCAUAGGCCUGAGGUACUGGAAGGUCCUCAGGCCGAAAGGGACUUAUGUCCGCCCGAGGAUGGGCCGGCGGCCGAUUAGGUAGUUGGUGGGGUAAUGGCCCACCAAGCCGAAGAUCGGUACGGGCUGUGAGAGCAGGAGCCCGGAGAUGGACACUGAGACACGGGUCCAGGCCCUACGGGGCGCAACAGGCGCGAAACCUCCGCAAUGCGGGAAACCGCGACGGGGGGACCCCGAGUGCCGUGGCAACGCCACGGCUUUUCCGGAGUGUAAAAAGCUCCGGGAAUAAGGGCUGGGCAAGGCCGGUGGCAGCCGCCGCGGUAAUACCGGCGGCCCAAGUGGUGGCCGCUAUUAUUGGGCCUAAAGCGUCCGUAGCCGGGCCCGUAAGUCCCUGGCGAAAUCCCACGGCUCAACCGUGGGGCUUGCUGGGGAUACUGCGGGUCUUGGGACCGGGAGAGGCGGGGGGUACCCCUGGGGUAGGGGUGAAAUCCUAUAAUCCCAGGGGGACCGCCAGUGGCGA